GACGAACGCUGGCGGCGUGCUUAACACAUGCAAGUCGAGCGGUAAGGCCCUUUCGGGGGUACACGAGCGGCGAACGGGUGAGUAACACGUGGGUGACCUGCCCUCAGCUCUGGGAUAAGCCUGGGAAACCGGGUCUAAUACUGGAUAUGACUCCAUGACGCAUGUUGUGGGGUGGAAAGCCUUGUGCGGCUGAGGAUGGGCCCGCGGCCUAUCAGCUUGUUGGUGGGGGAUGGCCUACCAAGGCGACGACGGGUAGCCGGCCCGAGAGGGCGACCGGCCGACACUGGGACUGAGACACGGCCCAGACUCCUACGGGAGGCAGCAGUGGGGAAUCUUGCGCAAUGGGCGAAAGCCUGACGCAGCGACGCCGCGUGAGGGAUGACGGCCU
rnacentral:rRNA from 1 species